rnacentral:rRNA from 1 species
CACCGUCAGUGGCGACGGGUGAGUACGCGUGGGACCUACCAUAGUACGGAAUACUGCGGGAAACUGUGGCUAAUACGUAUGUGUCUGAGGGACAAGGAGCAAUCCGCUACCGGAGGGCCCGCGUUGGAUUAGCUAGUUGUGGGUAACGGCCUACCAGCGACGAUCCAUAGCUGGUCUGAGAGGAUGAUCAGCCACACUGGGACUGAGACACGGCCCAACUCCUACGGGAGGCAGCAGUGGGGAAUAUUGCACAAUGGGCGCAAGCCUGAUGCAGCAACGCCGCGUGAGGGAUGACGGCCUUCGGGUUGUAAACCUCUUUUAGCAGGGAAGUNGCGAAAGUGACGGUACCUGCAGAAAAAGCGCCGGCUAACUACGUGCCAGCAGCCGCGGUAAUACGUAGGCGCAAGCGUUAUCCGGAAUUAUUGGGCGUAAAGAGCUCGUAGCGGUUUUGUCGCGUCUGCUGUGAAAAUCCGAGGCUCAACCUCGGGUCUGCAGUGGGUACGGGCAGACUAGAGUGCGGUAGGGGAGAUUGGAAUUCCUGGUGUUAGCGGGUGGAAUUGCGCAGAUUUUCAGGAGGAACCACCGAUGGGCGAAGGGCAG